CCAAUUGGAGAAAAAAAGGAUAGUCCUUGCUCGUAUCAAUGACAACUGGAGACGGUAUAAGACCACAAUCAAGCAAAAUCAUUUUCUGCCAUACAAAAGUGUUAAUGAAAUGCUGAAAAAUCGUCC